rnacentral:rRNA from 1 species
AGCAGUAGCCGCGGGAAUACAGAGGGUGCGAGCGUUAAUCGGAUUUACUGGGCGUAAAGCGUGCGUAGGCGGCUUUUUAAGUCGGAUGUGAAAUCCCUGAGCUUAACUUAGGAAUUGCAUUCGAUACUGGGAAGCUAGAGUAUGGGAGAGGAUGGUAGAAUUCCAGGUGUAGCGGUGAAAUGCGUAGAGAUCUGGAGGAAUACCGAUGGCGAAGGCAGCCAUCUGGCCUAAUACUGACGCUGAGGUACGAAAGCGUGGGGAGCAAACAGGAUUAGAUACCCGAGUAGUCCCUGUCUCUUAUAA